AGCUUAGCCUCCUUCCUCCAGCUUCAGGAGCAGCUGGAGCUGCUGGUUAAAAGGGUCACUCUGCUUGAGUACAUAAUGUGGCCAGAAACUGACGCAGGCUCUGGAACAGAACCAACACCAACGGGCAGUAGUGGAUUCUAUCGUGGAAGGCGCAAUGGCCCAUCGCUUUACAAAGUUUUGCCAUCACAGAAUGAUGAAGAGGAAGAUGAGAGCUAUUGAUGGUUUCCUCCAUGGUGCCAUUAACAACCUAAUUAGGUUAAUCUACCCUAUGUGGUUCUAUUUGUGCCUUAUUUCUAUUCUUUUAAAGAGAAAUAUGGAGGCCCACCGUUUUCUCCAAGCAGUUUUCAUGAAACACCUCUCAGGCCUGAACAUUAGGACAUUACCACAUGAAUACACAUGAAUUACCCAUGUUUCGUUGUUAUAUCAUAUCUGUGCUCAAGCAGGACAUGUAUAGGAAUCUAGGCCUGUUGUGGGUUAUCUGCAUAUUGGAUUGAAAAUAAUACAUUUUAUGUUACCUGGAAAACCCUCAGUACACCGGCACAGUGAAUUGCUGGCACUGUGAAAAAAUGGAUUUAGUUUGAUUACUGUAUCCAAAUCAGUCCUAUUGGGAGUCUAUAGGUGAGAAUAUUGAAAGACACAGAGCCAUAUGAUCCUACAAUUUUGGCCCGCAAAAAUGUAAUUGAAGCCUUUCAUAUUUUAAACAGUGAGAACAGAUUGGAAAAUCAUCAUUCAACUUCUUCCAAAAGUUGCUUGUUGUACUUACUAUGAAAUAAUUAGUCCGGUUAUCUAUAUGGGUAUCCAAGUGGUUAUCAAACGCCCAGGUCACAGCCAACAUUAUGCACUAUGAUCAAAAAGUGAAAUGCUGGUGAACAUAUAGUUACUGCAAGUCGUGUACUAGUGAUCACUUGACUGAAUCAUUUCUACCAUUUAAGCAGAAUAAACAUGCCACUAGAAAACCUCAGGAGCAUGUAUUUGGUACUAUAACACACUUGAACUUUCAGAAGUAAAAAACCCCCAGCUACAACUGAAUGUUCUUGUAAAUGGAAUCUGUGUAUCCUGAUGUUUAUUCCAGCAUCUCAUAGCCAAACUGGAAUUCCACACUCUAGUUCUGAAGACAGUGCACAUAUAGAGAAGAGAGGGAAGCAUUUGGUGGUAAUAUAUAAGUAUUUAAUUACAAAUGUACAGUACAUCAUCACUUACUAUGGUAAGAAUCAGUUUGACUGUUGGUGGUUACCUUGGAGAAUUUCACCAAGAACAGAUGGAAAGAAAAUUCCAGCAUAUCACUAACACUCAGGGAGAAAGUAAAAAAAUAAAUUGUUUUUCCAUUCCAGCAACCUGUCGCAAAAUUACAAAGGCAUUUCACACAAGGGGGUACCCUCUCAGUGGCAUCAUGAAGACUACAGCAGCUGGAACACAGGAGACGAAACCACAGAGGAUGCCCUCAGUUGUGUGUAACAUCUAUGGAACGGUGGAGCAGCAUGCUGGGAUGCAAGAACUUCUGAUUGCCUUAGUAGUGUCAGUGAUAUACCGGUCCGGGAUCAUUUCCCAGUUCUCCCAGCUGACCACCUAUGAGUAAAGUCAAUACAGGUUGAGUAUCCCAUAUCCAAAUAUUCAGAAAUACGGAAUAUUCCCGAAUACAGACUUUUUUUGAGUGAGAUAGUGAAAGCUUUCUGAUGGCUCAAUUUACACAAACUUUGUUUAAUACAGUUAUUAAAAAUAUUGUAUUAAAUGACCUUCAGGCUGUGUGUAUAAGGUGUAUAUGAAACAUAAAUGAAUUGUUGGAAUGUACACACACUUUGUUUAAUGCACAAAGUUAUAAAAAAAUAUUGGCUAAAAUUAUCUUCAGGCUGUGUGUAUAAGGUGUAUAUGUAACAUAAAUGCAUUCUGUGCUUAGACUUUCCAUCACCAUGAUAUCUCAUUAUGGUAUGCAAUUAUUCCAAAAUACGGAAAAAUCCGAUAUCCAAAAUACCUCUGGUCCCAAGCAUUUUGGAUAAGGGAUACUCAACCUGUAUAAUUCUCCCCUUACUGUAAGUGAUUCUGCACUUUUGUAAUUCUAAAUUAAAGUUUAUAAGAUAAAAAUACCCAAGAUGGGCUAAUACAUUUUGUGAUUUAUGUGAUGUUGUUUAUAACAUAAGAGAGUGUGUAAUUUUAUUAUUUGUUGUGUACACAUUUUAUUAUUUGAAAUCCACAAUGGUAAAAAACAACAACACUUUGUAUAAAUAAAUAAAACUUUUUUUUAUUGA